UGUAGCUAAAGAAAAAUCCUUUAUUAAGGGAAUUAAGGAUUUGAUCCUCAAUGCGGUGGCAAUUCAAUUUUGUUCCCUUUCGUUCUUCUUUUCUGAUUUGUAUCAUCAUCUUUUCUUCAGUUUCCGUAUCAUCAUCAUCUUCUUCUUCAAUUUUUGUUCCUUUUUUUUCUGAUUCGGGCUCUUGAUUUUGACAGGAGAUAAGAGCACCGGGAGACGCGGCGGUUGUGAAUCCAGUUGAUCCGGAGAUAAGAGCACCGGAGCACUCUGUUUUAACAUAAAGUCGGUAACUUUUAAUCAAUCGUUGAAUUGAGAUUCUGUUGGUUCCAAUCAGCUCAAGGAGUUAAGUUUGGAAGAAUUUCCUAUGCGUGCUAUAGUGCUUAGAGGAGGGUAACUAAUAUCUUCUUCUGUGUUUUCCUCUUGAUGUACCUACCUAGCAUGUUUCCAAUUCCUAUCCUUCGUAUAAAGUUCUCAUCUUUCUUCACUGAUUUUCUGUAUAUCGUCAAGUUUAAGUUUCGUUUUUUUUUUUUUUUUGGGCAAACAAGUUUCGUUCUUUCUGUAUCGUGGUUUCUUCAUUGAAAUGGUUUCAGGAAUGGUUGAUAUAUAUUAAGAGAAAAAAGAGAUUUGUUUUCCUGCCUAUGAAUUAGAAUACCUGGUUUGUGAAUUAUGCGAUGAUGCAGAUGAUCUACAUUUAGGUUUAUCCCUUUUUGCAUCUGGUAUUGAAAAACGAUAUGUUCUUGGUGAUUCUGUGGUCAAGGUUUCCCCCCCCCCCCCAUAAAUGUUGUUUUGAAAAUUUCAAAGCAGAGUUCGUUCUCUUUAAGCAUCAUGAAACUUCUGAUCCCUUGUUCUUUAUAGGACUCUGUUUGAUGGUUGCUAGAUUUUCAGAAGAGCAAUGAGUCAUUCUGCAUCCAGCUCAGGUACCUGCUGCUAUAACUGAUGUUGAUGAGAGGUACGAGUUGCGUGGAAAUGUUCAGCUUGAAGUUGUGGCUACUGAAUCUUCACCACGAGAUGAUACUCUUCCGGAAACAGCCAGAAAAGAAACUGAGAUGGGUGAGAAAUCUGUGGGAAGAGUAAACGUUGAAACGGAUAAUUUGGACAGUAGCAGUGGCUUGGCAACCAAAUCAGAUACAGAGAAGAGAUCAGAAGAUGACAUCAAUCGUGGUAACUGGUAACCCUUUUGCUGAAGCAAGUCAGAAAGAUAAAAUUGGAACAGAUGAUGUGGUGAGCCAUCAUUUGGACACUAACAUUGGGCUAACAGCCAGACCAGAUACAAAAAAAAGAAGAGUUCAGAAGAUGACACAAAUCAAACUUCUGCUACUGCAAAGCGUGUUGAUACUACACCUGCUGCAUCUCUUCCAAUCUCUAGAGGAGACAAUCAGAAAUGUUACUGAAUCUACUAGUUAUCCUUUAUGUUUGGUUUGUUUUAUAGCAAAGAAAAGUGUCACAAAACAUAAACACAUUUGAUCAUAUUGCUAAUUCUUUUUAUUCCUAAGGAUUCAAAUAUAAAAAACAUCAUUGGACA